UGCCAGCCGCCGCGGUAAUACGGAAGGUGCGAGCGUUAAUCGGAAUUACUGGGCGUAAAGCGCACGUAGGUGGCUUGGUAAGUCGGAUGUGAAAGCCCUGGGCUCAACCUGGGAAUUGCAUUCGAUACUGCUUAGCUAGAGUAUGAGAGAGGGUAGUGGAAUUCCGGGUGUAGCGGUGAAAUGCGUAGAUAUCCGGAGGAAUACCAAUGGCGAAGGCAGCUCACUGGACGGUGACUGACGCUGAUAUGCGAAAGCGUGGGGAGCAAACAGGAUUAGAUA
rnacentral:rRNA from 1 species